AUCAUUGAGCAAUCAAACGACCAAUGAUAGAUCCUGAGGGAUCGUUCUCUUGUGAGCUGUCUCUCUUCUCUCUCAUAGACCCAGAAAGGACAGAUGAAGUUGGUGACUCGGUUCACAGGCAAGGAGGAUGGUUGUAAAUUUCUCAAGGGCAUAUAAGCAUAUCAUUUCACAUCGCGCAGAAAUAAGAAUACCUCCAAGAGGACCAAGACCUCCACGGAGUCAAUGUUUAUUAUAUAAAGCCUUCCAGGUUGCAACCCUCCGACCAAGAGCAGGAGACAUGGAAUCACGAAGGGCUCCCUUGUUCUUCCUGCUGCUCUUGGUUUCAAUCCAUCUUCGCAUGUCCGGGUUUGCAGAAGCCAGGCCACUGCCAUCACCCUCGGCGAAACAAGAGAGGUAUGUCAAGGUGUUGGGGUCGCUGGGCCUCGCCUGCCGGUGCUGCGACGGAGUGGGAGGUGAGUGCAGGAGCACCUGGGAAUCCACUUGCGCCAAACUGGACUGUCGUCCCUGGAAAUCCUUGUGAUGUAGGCAUCUCAAUUUUGAUUUUCUGGCCUUGUAAAUAACUUCUGAAGAGUUUGGUACUUGAAGCACCAAAAUAGCCGUGUAAAUGCCUUCAAUAAUAGCAAAUCUCAAUAUGAUAUGGUCAUCUCUGUAAA